CUCCUCUCCCGGCGUCCGUGGGUGCUGAGGGACACGGUGGCCGGGCGGAGCGGCUCGCCGGUGUCGCGACCUGGGAGAGGCGUCGGCAGAGUGGGGCCGUGCUAGUCCCGCCCCCGCCCCGCUCCGCGCCCCGGGAGUCGCCCUGUGGCUUCGCCGCAGGCCCGGCCGGCUCCACGUGGUGGGUGCGGGUGGGGCUCCUCGGCCUCCAGGCCCUGCUUUUUCCCUGCCGGGCGGUACCGAGUCCUCGCAGCUCACGCCUGAGUUUGCCGGACGUGGUGGCUAUUGUCCUCAUUAUUCUCAUCGUAUUGAUGGGAACACUGGGUGGCUGAAUACCGACAGGAUUUUUCUCAGACCUGGAGUCCACAGAGCUGGGAACUUGCUUCCCCUGCGCGUCCCCAGCUCGGCGCAGCUGUUGAGUGGCAGCGCCCCUGAGCCCAGCGACCUCCAGACCCCAGCUCUUUUAACUUCAACUCAGCAUGCUGUUGUUAUUUUUUUAAAGUUUGACGGACGAGCCAGCCCCCGAAACAAUUCUAAAAGGGGAGUAUCUGAGCCAGAGUUUUCUUCUCUGUCAAAUGGUGAACAAUUCCGUUUCCUCAGAAACUUGGGACAGUUUAAAAAUGGCUAUAGUGGGGCGCGGUGGCUCAUGCCUGUAAUCCUAGCACUUUUGGAGGCCGAGGCGGGUGGAUCACUUGAGGCCAGAAGUUCAAGACCAGCCAGGCCAACACGGUGAAACCCUGUCUCUACUAAAAAUAACAAAAAUUAGCCGGUCGUAGUGGUGCACCCCUGUAAUCCCAGCUACUCGGGAGGCUGAGGCAGGAGAAUCGCUUGAAUCCGGGAGGUGGAGGUUGCAGUGAGCCGAGAUUGCGCCAUUGCACUCUAGCCUGGGCGACAGAGCGAGGCCCUGUCUCAAAAAGAAAAAUAAAUACAAAUAAAAAUGGCUAUAAGUUGCUUAGCAGGCAGGCUGGCACAAAAUGAGCGCUAAAUAAAUGUGCCACAGGUUGGAGGAUUUGGAUCAACCAGACCAGAGGUGCCUAGAAAUUGCCAAUAGUCCACCACUAUUUGACCUGCAGAAACGGCAACUUCGCGUGGCACAACCUAACUGACAGACACCUCUAGAAAGCUGUCAAGGUUUCCGGGGCUCAAAGCCAGUCUGGGGUGGGGGUGGCAGGGCAUCAGAAGAGCCAGUGAGGCCCAUGAGCCAGGAACACCCAUCCUAAUCCUAGCAGGGCGUCCAGAGUCCACAGCCACUCCUGCACUCUGCUUUGUUUUAUUGUUGUUUUGUUUUUUGAGACAGAGUCUUGCUCUGUCACCCAAGGCUGUAGCGCAGUGGUGCAAUCACCAUGUUGGCCAGGCCGGUCUGGAACUCCUGACCUCAAGUGAGGCCUGCCUUGGACUCCCAAAGUGCUGGGAUGACAGGCAUGAGCCACCGCGCUGGCUCUGCACUCGGCUUUGAAGCUGGUUUCAGUUCCAGAUUUGAGUGGGGGGUGAGUCCCCUGCCCCACCCUCUUCCUGACAAAGGCCUCCUGAAGGGAACAGAGGGCUCUCACCAAAAUGGCUCCAUUAACUUAUUUCCAAAUGUCUGUAUGGAAAAAUGGGCUGGAUGACUGGCAGUUUUCAGGCAUGAGUUCUAGAUUUCCCUCUUCAACCUACUACUGUUCCCAAUGCUGGUUACAAGUGUUUAAAAGUCCAUCCUUUGAGUUGCCUUCCUUUCUCUCAAGACUUGUCUCCUUGGUCCUUGGUAAGUUUACAUGCCCAGCCACUUUUUUUUUUUUUUUUUUUUGAGACAGGAUCUGGCUCUUUCACCUGGACUGGAGUGGAGUGGUGCCAUCAUGGCUCACAGCACCCUCAACCUCCAGGGCUCAGGUGAUCCUCCCACCUCAACUUCCCAAGUAGCAGGACCACAGGUGCACACCACCGUGCCCUGCUAAUUUUUGUACUUUUUAUAGAGAUGGGGUCUCGCCAUGCUGCCCAGCCUGGUCUCGUCUCGAGUUCCUGACCUCAAGUGAUCCUCCUGCCUCAGCCUCCCAAGGUGCUAGAAUUACAGGUGUGAGCCACCAUGCCCUGCUUUUUUGUCUUUGUGUUUACCUAUAUUUUCUUUCUUUUUUUUUUUUUUUGAGACAGGGUCUCACUGUGUCACAUUGGUGUGAUCGUGGCUCACUGUAGCCUCAACCUCCCCUGCCCAAGCUAUCCUCCCACCUCAGUCUCCCGAGUAGCUGUGACCACAGGUGGGCACCACCACACCCAGCUAAUGUUUAAUUUUUUUGUAGAGAUGGAAUUUCCCUAUGUUGCCCAGGCUGGUCUCAAACUCCUGGGCUCAGGCAAUCCUCCUGCCUCAACCUCCCAAAAUGCUGGGAUUACAGGCAUGAGCCACCACACCUGGCCUGUAUUUUCUAAUUUCCAAAAU
rnacentral:lncRNA from 1 species